UGAUGAAGAACGUAGCGAAAUGCGAUACGUAAUGUGAAUUGCAAAUUCAGUGAAUCAUCGAGUCUUUGAACGCACAUUGCGCCCCCUGGUAUUCCGGGGGGCAUGCCUGUCCGAGCGUCAUUGCUGCCCUCAAGCACGGCUUGUGUGUUGGGCCCCGUCCUCCGAUCCCGGGGGACGGGCCCGAAAGGCAGCGGCGGCACCGCGUCCGGUCCUCGAGCGUAUGGGGCUUUGUCACCCGCUCUGUAGGCCCGGCCGGCGCUUGCCGAUCAACCCAAAUUUUUAUCCAGGUUGACCUCGGAUCAGGUAGGGAUACCCGCUGAACUUAAGCAUAUCAAUAAGCGGAGGA
rnacentral:misc_RNA from 1 species